rnacentral:rRNA from 1 species
AGUGAACGCUGGCGGUAGGCCUAACACAUGCAAGUCGAACGGCAGCACAGUAAGAGCUUGCUCUUGCGGGUGGCGAGUGGCGGACGGGUGAGGAAUACAUCGGAAUCUACUUUUUCGUGGGGGAUAACGUAGGGAAACUUACGCUAAUACCGCAUACGACCUACGGGUGAAAGCAUGGGAUCUUCGGACCUUGCGCGAUUGAAUGAGCCGAUGUCGGAUUAGCUAGUUGGCGGGGUAAAGGCCCACCAAGGCGACGAUCCGUAGCUGGUCUGAGAGGAUGAUCAGCCACACUGGAACUGAGACACGGUCCAGACUCCUACGGGAGGCAGCAGUGGGGAAUAUUGGACAAUGGGCGCAAGCCUGAUCCAGCCAUACCGCGUGGGUGAAGAAGGCCUUCGGGUUGUAAAGCCCUUUUGUUGGGAAAGAAAAGCAGCAGGUUAAUACCCCGCUGUUCUGACGGUACCCAAAGAAUAAGCACCGGCUAACUUCGUG